rnacentral:misc_RNA from 1 species
UGAUAAGUCAAGGUAAUUUCACUAGAAACAGUAGCGAUUGAUAAGAAAUAAAAUUGACAGCUUAAAGCCACUUUGGUUAACAUUCUCCAAUUCAACUAUUACAAUGAGGAGUCUCUCCGAUUUAUCCUAUUUGUACAUUAAUACUAAAUGGGAAUAUUAACUAAUCCUACGUAUAAAAGGACUAUGAAACUAGAUAAGAAGUAAUG